rnacentral:tRNA from 1 species
UAUAGCUCAGUUGGCAGAGCGCCUGGUUGUGGUCCAGGAGGUCGCGGGUUCAAUCCCCGUUA